CCUACGGGAGGCAGCAGUGAGGAAUAUUGGUCAAUGGGCGGAAGCCUGAACCAGCCAAGUAGCGUGCAGGAUGACGGCCCUACGGGUUGUAAACCGCUUUUAUACGGGAACAACGCGCCUUACGUGUAGGGCUUUGCAUGUACCGUAUGAAUAAGGACCGGCUAAUUCCGUGCCAGCAGCCGCGGUAAUACGGAAGGUUCGGGCGUUAUCCGGAUUUAUUGGGGUUAAAGGGAGCGUAGGCCGCAUGUCAAGCGUGCUGGGAAAUGUGCGGGCUCAACCCGGGCCUUGCAGCGCGAACUGGCGUGCUUGAGUCCGCGGAAAGCAGGCGGAAUGCGUCGUGUAGCGGUGAAAUGCUUAGAUAUGACGAAGAACCCCGAUUGCGAAGGCAGCUUGCUGCAGCGGAACUGACGCUGAUGCACGAAAGCGCGGGUAUCGAACAGGAUUAGAUACCCCAGUAGUC
rnacentral:rRNA from 1 species